CCUACGGGCGGCAGCAGUGAGGAAUAUUGGUCAAUGGGCGCGAGCCUGAACUAGCCAAGUCGCGUGAGGGAAGACGGUCCUAUGGAUUGUAAAUCUCUUUCUUCGGGGAGCAAAAGACGCCACUAGUGGCGUUCCGAGAGUCCCCGAAGUACAAGCAUCGGCUAACUCUGUGCCAGCAGCCGCGGUAGUACGGGGGAUGUGACCGUUAUCCGGAUUUAUUGGGGUGAAAGGGGGGGCAGGCGGAAGAUCAAGUCAGCGGUAAAAUUGAGGGGCUCAACCUCUUCGUGCCGUUGACACUGGUUUUCUUGAGUGAGUGAGAGGUAUGCGGAAGGCGGGGUGUAGCGGUGAAAUGCAUAGAUAUCACGAAGAACUCCGGUUGCGAAGGCAGCAUACCGGCGCUCAACUGACGCUCAUGCGCGAAAGUGUGGGUAUCGAACAGGAUUAGAUACCCGAGUAGUC
rnacentral:rRNA from 1 species